rfam:Schistosoma mansoni (strain NMRI) glutathione peroxidase (GPX1) gene, complete cds.
CUCGCUAUAUGACGAUGGCAAUCUCAAAUGUUCAUUGGUUGCCAUUUGAUGAAAUCAGUUUUGUGUG